GGUCAAGCGAAUAAGGGUUCACGGUGAAUGCCUUGGGACUAUCCGGCGAAGAAGGUCGUGGUAAGCUGCGAAAAGUCAGGGGGAGGAGCACACAUCCUAUGAUCCCUGGAUGACCGAAUGGGGUAACCCGGCAGAAGUUAUGUUCUGCCACUUGCAUGUGAAUAUAUAGCAUGUGAGAGCUAUACCUGGGGAACUGAACCAUCUAAGUACCCAGAGGAAGAGAAAUCAAAAGAGAUUCCCAAAGUAGCGGCGAGCGAAAUGGGAAGAGCCUAAACCAUAUGCGUGUAAGCGGCAAAGCGUUGCGUGUAUGGUGUUGUAGGGCUGUGCGUGGAGUAUUUGCCUGCUCCGGUUAAGUGAUAAAUCAUUGAUAUAGCAGAAUGUUCUGGAAAGGACAUCCAAAGAGGGUGACAGGCCCGUACGCGAAAUAUUAGUGACUUGACUGUACAGUUCCUGAGUAGAACGGGGCACGAGAAACCCUGUUUGAAUCCGGGAAGACCACUUUCCAAGGCUAAAUACGAGAUAGUCACCGAUAGUGAAUAAGUACCGUGAGGGAAAGGUGAAAAGAACCCCGGGAGGGGAGUGAAAUAGAACCUGAAACCGUGGACCUACAAGCGGUCAGAGCAGACUUCGGUCUGUGAUGGCGUGCCUUUUGUAGAAUGGGCCUGCGAGUUACGUUAUCAAGCGAGGUUAAGGCAUUGAAGUGCCGCAGCCGGAGGGAAACCGAGUCUUAAUAGGGCGACUAGUUUGGUGACGUAGACGCGAAGCCGGGUGAUCUACUUAUGGCCAGGUUGAAGCUGCGGUAAAACGUAGUGGAGGACCGAACCCUCGUCUGUUAAAAAAGGCAGGGAUGAGCUGUGAGUUGGAGUGAAAGGCUAAACAAACCCGGAGAUAGCUCGUUUUCACCGAAAUAGCUUUAGGGCUAGCCUUGCAAUAGUGUGCCGGAGGUAAAGCACUGGAUGGACUAGGGCCUGUCACAGGGUACCAAAUCCAAACAAACUCUGAAUGCCGGUAUAUGUUUUGCGGGAGUCAGUCUUAGGGAGAUAAGUUCCUAGGACAAAAGGGAAACAGCCCAGACCGUUAGCUAAGGUCCCUAAAUAAUACUAAGUGGGAAAGGAAGUGCAGCGGCGAAGACAGCCAGGAGGUUGGCUUAGAAGCAGCCAUCCCUUUAAAGAGUGCGUAAUAGCUCACUGGUCGAGUCGCUGUGCGCCGACAAUGUAACGGGGCUAAGUAUUAUACCGAAGCUACGGAAUCAGUAAUGAUUGGUAGGUGAACGUUCUCGAGGGCGUUGAAGGUGUUCUGUGAGGAAUGCUGGAGCUAAGAGAAGUGAGAAUGCAGGCAUGAGUAACGAAAAGACGGGUGAGAUCCCUGUCCGCCGAAAACCCGAGGUUUCCUAAGUAAAGGUCGUCUGCUUAGGGUUAGUCGGCUCCUAAGGUGAGGCCGAAAGGCGUAACCGAUGGGAAACGGGUUAAUAUUCCCGUACCUCGUAAUGUUUCGAUGGGAAGACGCAUGAGGUGAAGCCCGGCCGGGCGAUGGUUGUCCCGGUCUAAGCAUGCAAGCUGUUGAUUGUCAUAGGUAAAUCCGUGACAAGAGGUGAGCUGCGAAAGCGAGUGGAGCUACGGCAAAGCGAAGCGGGUGUAGUCAAGGUGCCAAGAAAUACUCUCUAAGGUUAGGCAUUACGAGACCGUACCGAAAACCGACACAGGUGGGUGAGAUGAAUAUUCUAAGGCGCGCGAGAGAACUCACGUUAAGGAACUCGGCAAAAUGCAUACGUAACUUCGGGAUAAGUAUGGCCUCUUUCGGAUGUUAAAGUUUGCGAGAGGUUGCAGAGAAUCGGCAAAAGCGACUGUUUACCAAAAACACAGGUCUCUGCGAAAUCGUAAGAUGACGUAUAGGGACUGACACCUGCCCGGUGCCGGAAGGUUAAGAGGAGCGGUUAGCAUUAGCGAAGCUGUGAAUUGAAGCCCCGGUAAACGGCGGCCGUAACUAUAACGGUCCUAAGGUAGCGAAAUUCCUUGUCGGGUAAGUUCCGACCCGCACGAAUGGUGUAACGACUUUUGCGCUGUCUCAACGUGAGACUCGGUGAAAUUGAAGUAUCGGUGAAGAUGCCGAUUACCCGUGGUUAGACGGAAAGACCCCGUGAACCUUUACUGCAGCUUGGCACUGAAUCUUGGUCAGUCAUGUGUAGGAUAGGAGGGAGACUGUGAAAUAUGCACGCUAGUGUGUAUGGAGUCAUUGGUGAAAUACCUCCCUUGGCUGAUUAGGAUUCUAACUGUGGCCCUGAAGCGGGUCAGAGGACAGUGUCAGGUGGGCAGUUUGACUGGGGCGGUCGCCUCCCAAAGAGUAACGGAGGCGCGCGAAGGUUCCCUUGCGCUGGUUGGAAAUCAGCGUGUAAGUGUAAAGGCAUAAGGGAGCUUGACUGCGAGACAGACAAGUCGAGCAGGUACGAAAGUAGGUCUUAGUGAUCUGGCCGUGGCGAGUGGAAGCGCGGUCACUUAACGGACAAAAGGUACUCCGGGGAUAACAGGCUGAUCCUUCCCAAGAGUUCACAUCGACGGAAGGGUUUGGCACCUCGAUGUCGGCUCAUCGCAUCCUGGGGCUGGAGCAGGUCCCAAGGGUUUGGCUGUUCGCCAAUUAAAGCGGUACGCGAGCUGGGUUCAGAACGUCGCGAGACAGUUCGGUCCCUAUCUGCCACGGGCGUUGGAUAUUUGAGAGGAGCUGCAUUUAGUACGAGAGGACCGAUGUGGACAGACCUCUGGUGUACCAGUUAUCGUGCCAACGGUAAGUGCUGGGUAGCUACGUCUGGAGGGGAUAACCGCUGAAGGCAUCUAAGUGGGAAGCCCUCCUCAAGAUGAAAUAUCCCUCUAUCUUAAAGAUAGCUAAAGGGCCCUGGGAGACUACCAGGUUGAUAGGCUGGAAGUAUACGUGUGGUAACACAUUCAGCUGACCAGUACUAAUCGCCCGUGCGGCUUGACCAU
rfam:Salinispira pacifica strain L21-RPul-D2, complete genome.